UGUGGGCAUGCUUGGGAAAUGGCGUGUGGUAUCACUUAGGUCACUGGAGCAUGGUGAAAGGGGGAGGGGAGUGAGAAAGAGGCAGUUUCCUUUUCCAGCUCCAUCAUCAUAGAGGACAGGAAGUGCUGGUAUUUCUCAGCUGUUUACUGGACACAGAACCAAAAUAUAUGGAGGAUUGCCUUGGGAGUCCUCACAAGAUGAGGGGAGGAAGAGGAGGCAUCUUGGUUUUUCUGCUUCUUGCGGGACUGUCCUGGCUCAGUCUCCACAAGUGGUGCAGUAUUCCAGAGGCCACAUGACAUGUGACACACCACAGACUAAAUGCAGAAGGAGGUCAUGUAGGUCCCUGAGUAGUGGUUCCCACUCUCAGCUAGAGGUGGAUCUGGAGACAGGACCACAGAGCACCAGGCAAUGGAAGAUCAUCCUGCUGCCUUGAAGCUGGGACAGUGUUAGCCAGGAGUUGCUGGCACCACCACAAAGACACAGAACCCAACACAGGAGAAAGCAUUGCAAGAUGAGAAGUCUUGAGACUACAUGCCACUACUGAAAUGUCUGUAUCUAGCUGGAACAUAACCCAGCCCUAUCCCUGGACUUUUCUGUUAUGCAACCCAGUGAUAUCUCUUUUCUCUUUCAGACCCAUUUGAUAUGGAUUCCUGUCUUUUGCAACCAAAACAUAUCUAAUAGAUACAGUAUUUUGAAAAUAGAUAAGCACUUGCAAGUAACAAUGUUUUAAAAGCAGUUCGUCUUGUAACAUCAGGGUAUUCUUUAAAAAUGGUAGCAAGAAAUUUAUCAUAAAAUUUGUGUCUAUUCACAUACAAAAGUGUGGGAUAAAUAAAUAUAUAUGGUUAGAAUCAAAGGAUUACAAUUGGGAUGCAAAUUUGACGAU